rnacentral:rRNA from 1 species
AUUGAACGCUGGCGGCAUGCUUUACACAUGCAAGUCGAACGGCAGCGCGGGCUUCGGCCUGGCGGCGAGUGGCGAACGGGUGAGUAAUACAUCGGAACGUGCCCAGUAGUGGGGGAUAGCUCGGCGAAAGCCGGAUUAAUACCGCAUACGACCUGAGGGUGAAAGCGGGGGAUCUUCGGACCUCGCGCUAUUGGAGCGGCCGAUGGCAGAUUAGCUAGCUGGUGGGGUAAAGGCCUACCAAGGCGACGAUCUGUAGCUGGUCUGAGAGGACGACCAGCCACACUGGGACUGAGACGCGGCCCAGACUCCUACGGGAGGCAGCAGUGGGGAAUUUUGGACAAUGGGCGAAAGCCUGAUCCAGCAAUGCCGCGUGUGUGAUGAAGGCCUUCGGGUUGUAAAGCACUUUUGGCGGGAACGAAAAGGACUGUGCCAAUACCACGGUUCGAUGACGGUACCCGCAGAAUAAGCACCGGCUAACUACGUG